UUGUGGCAACAUACGAGAGGAUAACUACAGAUUUUACUCAGCUUGCUUGGUCCGACGAAACCUAAAUCGCAUGCCAUUUGUUUUUAGAGACAGAGAAUCUUUCAGAGAUAGUCAAGUCUAUAUCAAGAGUCCUACUAUGUCCUCUACUAUGCAAGUGGAACUUCUUCUACAGUGCCCCACCACCUAGGUUCAGCCUACUACAAAGAGUCACCCUCCCACGUGUCAACACUGGCCCUAAAUAUGGCAUCUGGUCCAGCCGUCUUUGCUUCCUCAACAAGAGAAAACACCAACUAU